UACGUAGGGCGCAAGCGUUGUCCGGAAUUAUUGGGCGUAAAGAGCUCGUAGGCGGCCAGUUGCGUCUGCUGUGAAAUCCCGGGGCUCAACCCCGGGCGUGCAGUGGAUACGGGCUGGCUAGAGGCAGGCAGGGGAGGAACGGAAUUCCCGGUGUAGCGGUGAAAUGCGCAGAUAUCGGGAGGAACACCGGUGGCGAAGGCGGUUCUCUGGGCCUGUACUGACGCUGAGGAGCGAAAGCGUGGGGAGCGAACAGG
rnacentral:rRNA from 1 species